AUUGAACGCUGGCGGCAUGCCUUACACAUGCAAGUCGAACGGUAACAGGUCUUCGGAUGCUGACGAGUGGCGAACGGGUGAGUAAUACAUCGGAACGUGCCUAGUAGUGGGGGAUAACUACUCGAAAGAGUGGCUAAUACCGCAUGAGAUCUACGGAUGAAAGCAGGGGAUCGCAAGACCUUGUGCUACUAGAGCGGCCGAUGGCAGAUUAGGUAGUUGGUGGGAUAAAAGCUUACCAAGCAGACGAUCUGUAGCUGGUCUGAGAGGACGAUCAACCACACUGGGACUGAGACCCGGCCCAGACUCCUACGGGAGGCAGCAGUGGGGAAUUUUGGACAAUGGGCGCAAGCCUGAUCCAGCAAUGCCGCGUGCAGGAUGAAGGCCUUCGGGUUGUUAACUGCUUUUGUACGGAACGAAAAGCCCUGGGUUAAUACCCUGGGGUCAUGACGGUACCGUAAGAAUAAGCACCGGCUAACUACGUGCCAGCCGCCGCCGUAAAAC
rnacentral:rRNA from 1 species